UACGGAGGGUGCAAGCGUUAUCCGGAUUCACUGGGUUUAAAGGGUGCGUAGGUGGGCAGGUAAGUCAGUGGUGAAAUCUCCGGGCUUAACCCGGAAACUGCCGUUGAUACUAUCUGUCUUGAAUAUAGUGGAGGUGAGCGGAAUAUGUCAUGUAGCGGUGAAAUGCUUAGAUAUGACAUAGAACACCCAUUGCGAAGCAGCUCGCUACACUAUCAUUGACACUGAGGCACGAAAGCGUGGGGAUCAAACAGG
rnacentral:rRNA from 1 species